CAGCAGCCGUCAAGAUGAAACUGAACAUAAACUACAUCUCCCAGCAGCCCUUGCUGCCGGGAGCUGUAGUUUACUUUCAGUUUCAUCUUGCAGUGAUCAGCUGAACAGGAUUGAGGGGGCAGAGGUAGGGGGACAAGUUAUCCCAGUCUUUCCCCACCCCCCUCUUCCCCCCAAUGCCAUUAAUCAUGGCAGUGCACUUUAAACUAAGAAGUUACUUGAGGUCCGAAAAGGGGGCGGGGCUAGACGGCACUGUACUACACAGUGCCUUGCUAGUUGCCAGCAGCACGGGAGAAUGGAGGGAAAGUGAGCAGCAGCAUGGCCAAAACAGAUUAAGGACCAGGCAGUCCGAAACGCGUUGGUGAACAAUUAGCAAGUGAAGCACUGACGUCACUCAGCCUGCGCCAGACGGGUGAGGGGACGAAAGAACAAACAAGUAUCGGGAACCAGCCGAAGGGUCGUGAUCCACACGGGAGAGCCGAAGUUUGAGCGUGACUCAAGGUUAGCAGCUUGAAGGAGUCAAUACAAUCCCUACUUAGCGCUGCAAGGAAAGGCUGGAACACAUGAGUGAAAAGGGGAAGACAGAAGAACAGAGAGUGCCAAGACCAGGUCAUAACAUGUAGAGGACAUUAUAACAAGUCAGGAGAAAGGUUAAGGACAAGUAAUGGUCUGGGCUACAGAAUCUGGAAACAGGGCAGAUUAGUAGCCAAACAGAGACUUACACAGGUAAUGAUGGACAAGCACGCAAUGAUCUCAAUACAAGUACACAGUUUUGCAGAUGCGCACUCCUUCUGGAAUAACUCUGGAUAUUUAACCACUGGGAAAUCUUCAAGAGUCACUCAAUCUCAAAAUUAAAUAUAAUAGCUCUUCUCUGGGAUGUUAUCUCCCCACGUCCAAUUUCUUUUUGAGCGCACUGGUAAACAGCAGGAUGCAGAUCUUCUAAUACUUCAUUAAUAGCUGUCCACCAUGCCCAGUGUCAGCUCAGCAGAGUCCGGAGGAUGAUAUCAGCUCCACUUGUGUCAUCAAAAUCAUAUACUGGGACCCAUCAGGCCUCAGGCUAGGUGGGACACGUGAAUACAAAACUGCAUAUAAAAAGAAUGUAUUUAUGCUCAUGUGCUUAGUCAGAUAUGUGGAGCUAUGUUAUUAUACCCAGAUAUACUUAUUCCCAACCAAGUCAAAAUAAACUAUUUUUAACAUUUGUUUAGAUAGGGAGAAACGAAUUCCUCUUUGUUUUCAUUUAUGUAAGAA